rnacentral:misc_RNA from 1 species
CAGGAUUGUCGAAAGACGUCCCUUUCCACCAUUGUGAACUUACCUAUUUGUCGUGCUUCGGCAGGCAGGCCUCAUUCGUGGGGUCUCUCGGGCCUGAUCAGGUGCCUGCCGAAGUGCAAAUGUUACCAAAUUAUGAUAUCUUUGUGGAAUCUCUGAGAUGAUUUAAGAAAAUUAUAA